rnacentral:misc_RNA from 1 species
GAUGAAGAACGUAGCGAAAUGCGAUACUUGGUGUGAAUUGCAGAAUCCCGUGAACCAUCGAGUCUUUGAACGCAAGUUGCGCCCGAAGCCAUUAGGCCGAGGGCACGCCUGCCUGGGCGUCACACGUCGUUGCCCCCCCAUCUACUCCUUCGGGAUUGCGGGGGGCGGAUGAUGGCCUCCCGUGCGCCUCGUCGCGCGGUUGGCAUAAAUGCCAAGACCUCGGCGACGCACGCCACGACAAUCGGUGGUUGCGAAACCUCGGUUGCCCGUCGUGUGCGGUCGUCGCGCAUCGAGGGCUCGAAAAAAUUGCCGGGCUCCGGCUCGGCUUUCAACGCGACCCCAGGUCAGGCGGGGUUACCCGCUGAAUUUAAGCAUAUCAAUAAGCGGAGGA